UUUGAGAGUUUGAUCCUGGCUCAGGAUGAACGCUGGCGGCGUGCCUUAAGCAUGCAAGUCGAAUGGUCGCAAGACAAUGGCAGACGGGUGAGUAAUGUAUAGGAAUCUACCCUUCAAUGGACCAUAGCCUAUCGAAAGAUGGGGUAAUAGUCCAUAGCCCUUUGGGUAAAGAUCUUAACUGAUCGUUGAAGGAGGAGCCUAUAUCCUAUCAGCUAGUUGGCGGGGUAAAAGCCCACCAAGGCGAUGACGGGUAGCUGGACUGAGAGGUCGGUCAGCCACAACUGCACUGAGACACGGGCAGUACACCUACGGGUGGCAGCAACUAGGAAUAUUGCGCAAUGGACGAAAGUCUGACGCAGCGACGCCGCGUGGAGGAUGAAGGCCUUAGGGUUGUAAACUCCUUUUGAGUCGCCAUUCACGGCGACUAGAAUAAGCCCUUACUAACUACGUGGAACAAUCAGCAGGCAACCUCGAUUUUUCGAGGAAGUCCUCAGAGACUAUACGUGGAACAGGUUUAAAACCUGAAGAUAUAGUCCAAUGUUCGGAACGUAUAAUUUUUGUACGGGCCGGGCCAGCAGUCGCGGUAAUACGUAGGGGGCAAGCGUUAUCCGGAUUUAUUGGGCGUAAAGUGUGCGUAGGCUCCUUAAAAAGUCGCGUCUCAAAUGCUCAGGCUUAACCUGAGAAGCGGAUGCGAUACUAUUAGGGUUGAGGAUUGACAGGGAUGCUGGAACAGCUAGAGUAGCAGUGAAAUGCGUUGAUAUUAGCUGGAACACCAAAGGCGAAGGCAAGCAUCUAGGUUUUUCCCUGACGCUGAGGCACGAAAGCUAAGGUAGCGAAACAGAUUAGAUACCUGUGUAGUCUUAGCUGUAAACAAUGUUCGCUAGCUCUUCCCCUCUUUUCUUUGUUUGCAAAUUUUUAAUGUUUAAAGAUUUGCCGGAAAAGAGGGGAGGGGCGUAAGUUAACACGUUAAGCGAACCGCCUGGGGAGUACGGCCGCAAGGCUAAAACUCAAAGGAAUUGACGGGGACCCGCACAAUCUGUGGAGCGUGUGGUUCAAUUCGAGACAAAACGAAAAACCUCACCAGGGUUUGACAUAUUACCGUUUAUUUCUCUGGAAACAGAGAGAAAUCCGCAAGGAUGGUAUUACAGGUGCUGCAUGGCUGUCGUCAGCUCGUGCCGUGAGGUGUUCCCUUAAGUGGGGAAACGAGCGCAACCCCCAUUCAAUGUUAAAUAUUCAUUGGAGACAGCCCCCUCUUUCUGGGCUUUAUCUAAAAAUUUUAUGUAGAGCGUUGAUUGUUGAAAUCAAUAAACGUGAAAUUAAGAUAGAACUUAGAAAGAGGGGGAGGAAGGAGGGGAAGACGUCAAGUCAGCACGGCCCUUAUACCCUGGGCUACACACACACUACAAUGGCGAAAAACAAUGAGUUGCAAGCCGGUAACGGCAAGCUAAUCUCUGAAAUUUCGUCUCAGUUCAGAUUGGGGGCUGAAACCCGCCCCCAUGAAGUUGGAAUAGAUAGUAAUCGCGAAUCAGCAUGUCGCGGUGAAUACGUUCUCGGGUCUUGUACAAAAAUAAAUUGCGCCUUUCAGCCAAUUUUUCCAGAAGGUCACCGCCCGUCAAGGCAGCAAAGUCGGGAGUGGCCGAAUCACAAGGUAUCCCUAGCCGAAGCUGGGGAUGGAUCACCUCCUU
rnacentral:rRNA from 1 species